rnacentral:lncRNA from 1 species
UAGAAAGAGCAUAGGGGCCAUUUCGCCCCAUUUCCACGAAGCCAAACCCACCGAAAGAAUCGACUUCUUCGUUUCGCCGAACGAAGAUAUCCACAAGCUCCCUAGUACCCUAGAAACAUCAAAAAUAGGGUCACCCAAACGAAACGAAGAGCGAAUAGCUCAAUCAUUAACCAACUCAAGCUAGGGUUGGGCAAAAACUCACCUCAAGUGGAAAACCCUCUCCAAAUCCUCAAAUGAAAGGUAGAGGUCUCCCAAUCUAACCUAUAUAAAGGUUCAAAACCCAUAAAAAAGGUUUCAAAGCCCUCAAAUCAAAAAGCCCCAAAAUCUAACCCUAGAAUCCAAAAUCUAGGGUUUAAACAAGCAAAAAGCUCCAAAACUAUGAUCUAGAGGAAGGAACUUUGCCACAUACCUCUAGGAUGCUCCAAACCAAGCUCAAAAUCUUCUAGGGUUGAAGAUCGAUCCACCACAAAGCUCCAAAAGCAAGCUCCCAGCCUCCAAAGGUGAGAAAUGAGGAUGAAGAUUAUGCUCCAAGCCUCCAAGCAAGCUCCCUCUCCUCCUCUUCUUCUUCUUCUUCUUCUCCCUCUCUUCUUCUCUCUCUAAAAUGCCAAGGGUUGAGAGGAAUGGGGGAAAGAGAGAGAAGAAGGGCUCUCUAUAGGCUCUAAAGUAACAAAAUCCAGAUAAGCCCCUCAAAAAUCCAAAAUCACAUCAGCCCGGUCUGGGCAGUUUCCGCCCAGAGGGACCGGUCUCUCCCC